GUAAAGCCUGAAUCUGGACCAUCCUGUGAGAACUGGAGGAGGCCAACUGAAGCAUGAAGUUGGUGUCCAUGAUUCUUGGACAAUAAGAGAGGAAAAAUGUGAUGGAGAUCGAAUCUGUUUUGUGGGCUCAGCAAAUGCAGAACUUGUCGACAUCGGCUCCCAUUCAUACUGGCCAUAUAGGCAGUGGUAUUAUCCUCAGUGGGGUUAAUUAAGCCUUUCCUCAAGACUACACGCACUGCCUUCCAAGGGGUUCAAACAGUCUUCAGCAUGGAGCCAAAGUACAUCAUAUACAAGGAUCAGUGUUCAAGAUGGGAUGGCUGUAACAAAAGCAGGAAAAGUCAGACAGCUUGACGCAUUGACUUGAACUCCAUGUUUGAAGAAGGGGUAGUCACAGCCUCCAUGUGGUGUGGCAUUCAUGAUGCAGUGCCCAGAACAGGCUGUCAGCUGGCCACUGCACCCAUUUGACUCUCUGGAUCAUAGCAACUCCGGGGUGAAAGUUGCUUGGAGCUGUGCUUUGGAAAGCCUAUGUGAAUAAAUGUUUCCUGAUUCUAAAGCUCCGCAGUGAACGGAGGACCGUGUCCUUGCAGGGGAACCAGAGAAGGAGCUGCUUUCCCUGCUCAGGACUCUUGUUUGCUAAUACAAGUGUGUAGUGAAAGCAAACAAACCAAGUGCCUGCCAUAUUCGUGAGAAUACCUAAAAGAGUUGUCAGGCUCAGUGGUCACAUCCUGAAGCAUCUUCAACAGGGGUCCUGAUGCCUGGGACUCGCCACCAGAAGGAAAUACAACAGAGGGACUAAUUGAUUCAUUGGAAGGUGUUUCUAACUGUAUUUUCUGAUGAAUUUGUCACCUGGAUGUUUGUGGGAAGGAACCAUUGGAUAGUUGUGGCUGUCACACUGCCGACUGUCUCUCAUUUUGUCACUGUACAGGACAUGAGGGCUCCCCUUUACUGUAUCUGGCAAAGCCCCAUCUGGUGAAAGACCGUGUCUCUUCCUCAGACUCCACUUGCACCUCAGCAGCAGGCUGUUGUCAAAAUAACACCGGAGACUAUACUGAUGGGCUUCCUUCAAAUACGCGAUCGGAUCAGAAACUCCUGUGGGCUCACCAGAUGUCAGGAGCGAUGGGACACCAGAGGCGGAAGAACCUAUGUCCCCAGGCUACAGCAAAGCUCCCAGCCCUAUGAAAAUCAUCUAGCCUGCUCUGAGCCACAUGCCUAGAGGUCACAGAGGCAUGCGGGAAAGUGAGAGGAAGUGGAAACGUGCUACAAAAAGGGCUCAAAGCAAUGUGCUCACCACCGGAAAAAAAAAUAAAAAUAAACACCCUCAGAAAUAGUGUAACUGAUAUGCAAAGAAGAUCAAAACAAGG
rnacentral:lncRNA from 1 species